rnacentral:lncRNA from 1 species
AACAAUGCCCAGAGCAGCCUGGCCUGUGCUUCUUUUACUAAGUGGUUAGUUGCCUGCUGAGUAGACAUAAACACCUGCUAAAGAAAUGUGAAAAGAGUGGAAACGUGCUAUUUGGAGGUUAUUUUCCUAGUCGACAUCCAGGAGAUCUCCAGAGAUCUAUUUCAGCCCCACCUGUUGUUUCAUUUCUUCUACCUCAACCAGAACAAGCUGAAAAGCCGAGAGACUUAACACCUGAUUUCAUCAUGAAAAGGAGGAAGCUCAAACUGAAGUGAGUUAAAAACUUCAUCUCCUAGAGAGGACUGUGGCUCGGCCUGAGUUGAGUUUUUUUAUGUUUAUGUGCAAGCGCAAUGAAGAAGAACACCAGCAAGACUACCAUGAGGAUCAAUAAGCAAGAUGCUCUCUGCACCCCACACUCCCAUGAUCCGAGAGAUCUUCAAAAUAUGUUGGAUGGAGGAGAGUAUGCCCCUUUUGUAUCUCCUCCCAUGUUAGAGAGCAAUUUUAUCCAGGUCAACAGAAGAGGUGAAUCCAUUUACCUUCAUAACC